rnacentral:rRNA from 1 species
GUUCCCUACGGGACGCAGCAGUGAGGAAUAUUGGUCAAUGGGCGGAAGCCUGAACCAGCCAAGUCGCGUGAGGGAAUAAGGCCCUACGGGUCGUAAACCUCUUUUGCCGGGGAGCAAGGGCGGGGACGUGUCCCGGCCCGGAGAGUACCCGGAGAAAAAGCAUCGGCUAACUCCGUGCCAGCAGCCGCGGUAAUACGUAGGUGGCAAGCGUUAUCCGGAUUUAUUGGGCGUAAAGCGAGCGCAGGCGGUUGCUUAGGUCUGAUGUGAAAGUCUUCGGCUUAACCGAAGAAGUGCAUCGGAAACCG